rnacentral:snoRNA from 1 species
CUUGAUGAGUACACUCUUUGCUGAUUCAAUGAGGAGAGUGGCCAGGGCUGAAGAGG